GAUGAACGCUGGCGGCGUGCCUAAUACAUGCAAGUCGAGCGAACAGACGAGGAGCUUGCUCCUCUGACGUUGGCGGCGGACGGGUGAGUAACACGUGGAUAGCCUACCUAUAAGACUGGGAUAACUUCGGGAAACCGGAGCUAAUACCGGAUAAUAUGUCGAAUCGCAUGGUUCAACAGUGAAAGACGGUCUUGCUGACAGUAAUAGAUGGCUCCGCGCCGCAUUAGCUAGUUGGUAGAGUAACGGCUUACCAAGGCAGCGAUGCGUAGCCGACCCCAGCGGGUGAUCGCCCACCCUGGCACUGAGGCACGGCCCACACUCCUGCAGUAGGCCGCGGUCCGGACUCCUCCGCGAUGGAGCAGUGCCUGACGGUGCACCGUCGGGUGAAUCCUGAAGGACCUCUGCCCGUUGAGCGCUGUUGUUAGUAAAGUUGUAAAGCGUUAGUAACCAUGCUCAUAUUGACGGUACCGGGUCAGUAAGCCCCGGCUAACUACGUG
rnacentral:rRNA from 1 species